AGAACGAACGCUGGCGGCAUGCCUAAUACAUGCAAGUCGAACGAACACUUCGGUGUUAGUGGCGCACGGGUGCGUAACGCGUGGGAAUCUGCCCUUGGGUUCGGAAUAACAGUUGGAAACGACUGCUAAUACCGGAUGAUAUCGAAAGAUCAAAGAUUUAUCGCCCAGGGAUGAGCCCGCGUAGGAUUAGCUAGUUGGUGAGGUAAAGGCUCACCAAGGCGACGAUCCUUAGCUGGUCUGAGAGGAUGAUCAGCCACACUGGGACUGAGACACGGCCCAGACUCCUACGGGAGGCAGCAGUAGGGAAUAUUGGACAAUGGGCGCAAGCCUGAUCCAGCAAUGCCGCGUGAGUGAUGAAGGCCUUAGGGUUGUAAAGCUCUUUUACCCGAGAUGAUAAUGACAGUAUCGGAAAAUAAGCCCCGGACUAACUCCGUGCCAGCAGCCGC
rnacentral:rRNA from 1 species